GAUGAACGCUGGCGGCGUGCCUAAUACAUGCAAGUCGAGCGAAUGGAUUAAGAGCUUGCUCUUAUGAAGUUAGCGGCGGACGGGUGAGUAACACGUGGGUAACCUGCCCAUAAGACUGGGAUAACUCCGGGAAACCGGGGCUGAUACCGGAUAACAUUUUGAACCGCAUGGUUCGAAAUUGAAAGGCGGCUUCGGCUGUCACUUAUGGAUGGACCCGCGUCGCAUUAGCUAGUUGGUGAGGUAACGGCUCACCAAGGCAACGAUGCGGAGCCGACCUGAGGGGGUGAUCGGCCACGCUGGGACUGAGACACGGCCCAGACUCCUACGGGAGGCAGCAGUAGGGAAUCUUCCGCAAUGGACGAAAGUCUGACGGAGCAACGCCGCGUGAGUGAUGAAGGCUUCCGGGUCGUAAAACUCUGUUGUUAGGGAAGAACAAGUGCUAGUUGAAUAAGCUGGCACCUUGACGGUACCUAACCAGAAAGCCACGGCUAACUACGUGCCAGCAGCCGCUGUAA
rnacentral:rRNA from 1 species